GAUGAACGCUGGCGGCGUGCCUAAUACAUGCAAGUCGAGCGAACGGACGAGAAGCUUGCUUCUCUGAUGUUAGCGGCGGACGGGUGAGUAACACGUGGAUAACCUACCUAUAAGACUGGGAUAACUUCGGGAAACCGUAGCUAAUACCGGAUAAUAUUUUGAACCGCAUGGUUCAAAAGUGAAAGACGGUCUUGCUGUCACUUAUAGAUGGAUCCGCGCUGCAUUAGCUAGUUGGUAAGGUAACGGCUUACCAAGGCAACGAUGCAUAGCCGACCUGAGAGGGUGAUCGGCCACACUGGAACUGAGACACGGUCCAGACUCCUACGGGAGGCAGCAGUAGGGAAUCUUCCGCAAUGGGCGAAAGCCUGACGGAGCAACGCCGCGUGAGUGAUGAAGGUCUUCGGAUCGUAAAACUCUGUUAGUAGGGAAGAACAUAUGUGUAAGUAACUGUGCACAUCUUGACGGUACCUAAACAGAAAGCCACGGCUAACUACGUG
rnacentral:rRNA from 1 species